AUGUGGGGCACUGCCCUCCCUGGCUCUGCCUGGGGCCCCAGCCUGCUCUGCUGUGUCACUGUCUUUCUCCUGGGAACAAGUUCAGCAAGUCCCGGGGUCAUCCAGUCUCCAAGACGCAUAAUCAAAACAAAGGGAGGAAGGUCCAAUCUCAAAUGUAUGCCCAUCUCUGGACAAGACAAUGUGUUCUGGUACCAGCAGACUCUAAGGAAGGAAUUAAAGUUCCUCAUUCAACACUAUAAAAGCAUGGAGAGAGCAAAAGGAAACAUACCCAAACGAUUCUCAGUCCAGCAGUUCAGUGACUCCCACUCUGAGAUGAACAUGAGUGCCUUGCAGCUGGAGGACUCUGGGGUGUACUUCUGUGCCAGCUCAACACAGCCUUACAGAGUGACUGGGUUUCUGUUCUUUAAUCUUUCUGCUCCCACUGGUGAUAUACUAGAGAGGGCUGUGGAGGGCAUACUGCACACUGUUCCUUGCUAA